UACGUAGGGGGCAAGCGUUGUCCGGAUUUAUUGGGCGUAAAGAGCGUGUAGGCGGCCGUACAGGUCAGCUGUGAAAACUCGAGGCUCAACCUCGAGACGUCGGUUGAAACCGUACGGCUAGAGUCCGGAAGAGGAGAGUGGAAUUCCCAGUGUAGAGGUGAAAUCGUAGAUAUUGGGAAGAACACCGGUGGCGAAGGCGGCGACCUGGUCCGAUACUGACGCUGAGGAGCGAAAGCGUGGGGAGCGAACAGG
rnacentral:rRNA from 1 species